rnacentral:misc_RNA from 1 species
CGCAUAUUGCGCCUAUUAGUAUUCUAGUAGGCAUGCCUGUUCGAGCGUCAUUUCAACCCUCAAGUAUCCUGUUACUUGGUGUUAGGGACCUACACGCCCCGCGUUUUAGGCCCUGAAAACUAUAGGCGAGCUACCCAUAGGCUCCGAGCGCAGUAAAACCCCUCGCUCAGGACGCCCUGCACGUGCUAGCCCACACCCCGUACCUACGAAAAGUUUGACCUCGGAUCAGGUAGGAAUACCCGCUGAACUUAA